rnacentral:rRNA from 1 species
AGUGAACGCUGGCGGUAGGCCUAACACAUGCGAGUCGAACGGCAGCACAGUAAGAGCUUGCUCUUACGGGUGGCGAGUGGCGGACGGGUGAGGAAUACAUCGGAAUCUACUUUUUCGUGGGGGAUAACGUAGGGAAACUUACGCUAAUACCGCAUACGACCUACGGGUGAAAGCAGGGGAUCUUCGGACCUUGCGCGAUUGAAUGAGCCGAUGUCGGAUUAGCUAGUUGGCGGGGUAAAGGCCCACCAAGGCGACGAUCCGUAGCUGGUCUGAGAGGAUGAUCAGCCACACUGGAACUGAGACACGGUCCAGACUCCUACGGGAGGCAGCAGUGGGGAAUAUUGGACAAUGGGCGCAAGCUUGAUCCAGCCAUACCGCGUGGGUGAAGAAGGCCUUCGGGUUGUAAAGCCCUUUUGUUGGGAAAGAAAAGCAGCAGGUUAAUACCCCGCUGUUCUGACGGUACCCAAAGAAUAAGCACCGGCUAACUUCGUG